rnacentral:rRNA from 1 species
GACGAACGCUGGCGGCGUGCCUAAUACAUGCAAGUCGAACGCAGUGGGGACGGGUGAGUAACACGUGGGUAACCUCCCCAUCAGAGUGGAUAACACUUGGAAACAGGUGCUAAACCGAUACUGAUGGAUGGACCCGCGGUGCAUUAGCGAGUUGGUGAGGUAACGGCUCACCAAGGCCACGAUGCAUAGACGACCUGAGAGGGUGAUCGGCCACACUGGGACGGAGACACGGCCCAGACUCCUACGGGAGGCAGCAGUAGGGAAUAUUGGGCAAUGGAGGAAAGUCUGACCGAGCAAUGCCGCGUGAGUGAAGAAGGUUUUCGGAUCGUAAAACUCUGUUGUUAGAGAAGCGGUAUCUAAACAGAAAGCACCGGCUAACUACGUGCCAGCCGCCGCGGUAAUUC